rnacentral:tRNA from 1 species
CGGUAGRCCCUACGGACUUAAAAUCCGUUGGCUUUUUAGACCGUGAGGGUUCAAGUCCCUCUAUCCCCA